CCUACGGGUGGCAGCAGUGGGGAAUAUUGGGCAAUGGGCGCAAGCCUGACCCAGCAACGCCGCGUGAAGGAAGAAGGCUUUCGGGUUGUAAACUUCUUUUCACAGGGACGAGUAGAAGACGGUACCUGUCGAAUAAGCCAAGGCUUACUACUUGCCAGCAGCCGGUGUGAUACGGAGGUGGCCAGCGUUGUCCGGAUUUACUGGGUGUAAAGGGCGUGUAGCCCGGUUGACAAGUCCGAUGUGAAAUCCUGCGGCUUAACCGAAGAACUGCAUUUGAAAAUGUGGCACUUGAGUGCUGGAGAGGCAGGCGGAAUUCCUAGUGUAGCGGUGAAAUGCGUAGAUAUUAGGAGGAACACCAGUGGCGAAGGCGGCCUGCUGGACUGCAACUGACGGUGAGGCUCGAAAGCGUGGGGAGCAAACAGGAUUAGAUACCCUAGUAGUC
rnacentral:rRNA from 1 species